GGAAGAUGUGGCCGAGCGGUUGAAGGCGCAGUCUUGAAAACCGGCUUUGACGAAAAGGUUCCAGAGUUCAAGAUCUCUGCGCUUCCGCCA
rnacentral:tRNA from 1 species